rnacentral:rRNA from 1 species
UACGAAGGGGGCUAGCGUUGUUCGGAAUCACUGGGCGUAAAGCGCACGUAGGCGGACUCUUAAGUCGGUGGUGAAAUCCUGGAGCUCAACUCCAGAACUGCCUUCGAUACUGGGAGUCUCGAGUCCGGGAGAGGUGAGUGGAACUGCGAGUGUAGAGGUGAAAUUCGUAGAUAUUCGCAAGAACACCAGUGGCGAAGGCGGCUCACUGGCCCGGUACUGACGCUGAGGCACGAAAGCGUGGGGAUCAAACAGG